rnacentral:lncRNA from 1 species
AAAAAAAAAAAAAAAGGAAAACAAAUGUCUUCGCUUCCUUCUCCCUCUUCCUCGGGCAGCGGGUCUCCCGCCGAGCCGCGGAGGAGGAGGGGGCUCCCUUCCCCACCUCUAACCGUGUGCGCCUUCCCUCCCCAGGCAGGGAAACUUGUGCUGGCGGGCGGCCCCGGCGCCGGUACCGGCCGAGGACUGGAGCCUCCGGAAGCAAAGUUCUGUGACACUCCGACUCUGGCUGGAGCCAGUUUUUUUGCUUGCUUUACUUCCCUGGUGGUCAAGCUGACCAGUUCUGAAGGUAAGGUGAGUAUUUCUUGGCCUCUUGGUAGCCCUCAGUUGUCCUUGCCACAUGUCUGCAGCAUGUUGUACCUCCUGUCCUACAAGUAA